AGCUUUAUCAGUCAGGCAAAAUCAAAGAUGACAAGAAGAAUACUCAAGAAGGCAGUGUUGCCUUGUGCUAAGAGCACUGGUCCCUGGAAUGGCUGCCCGCACUCACUAGACUUGGAUGCUGCAGCCACCUCAUCUCCCCGCCUCCGCAGAUGUUCCUGAAUGCCUUUGGUGAGCCAAGGGGG